rnacentral:rRNA from 1 species
AACGAACGCUGGCGGCGCGCCUAAUACAUGCAAGUCGAGCGAGAAGGUGUAGCAAUACACUUGUAAAGCGGCGAACGGGUGAGGAAUGCAUGGGUAACCUACCCUCGAGUGGGGAAUAACUAGCCGAAAGGUUAGCUAAUACCGCAUACGUUUCCGGAACUUCGGUUUCGGAAAGAAAGCAAUACCGUGGGUAUUGCGCUCCUGGAUGGGCUCAUGUCCUAUCAGCUUGUUGGUGAGGUAACGGCUCACCAAGGCUUCGACGGGUAGCUGGUCUGAGAGGACGAUCAGCCACACUGGCACUGCGACACGGGCCAGACUCCUACGGGAGGCAGCAGUAAGGAAUAUUGCGCAAUGGACGAAAGUCUGACGCAGCGACGCCGCGUGGGGGAGUGAAGGUCGUUCGGAUUGUAAACCCCUUUCCGGGAGGGAAGAUGGAGUGGGUAACCAC